rnacentral:rRNA from 1 species
AAACAGAGGGAAGCGAGCCCGCGAGGGGGAGGCAAAUCCCAAAAAUAAACGUCCCAGUUCGGAUUGUAGUCUGCAACUCGACUACAUGAAGCUGGAAUCGCUAGUAAUCGCGGAUCAGAAUGCCGCGGUGAAUACGUUCCCGGGUCUUGUACACACCGCCCGUCACACCAUGGGAGUCGGAAAUGCCCGAAGUCUGUGACCCAACCUUAGGGAGGGAGCAGCCGAAGGCAGGUCGGAUGACUGGGGUGAAGUCGUAACAAGGUAAC